GCUAGUUGUGCGGGUUUAGACCCGCAGCGGAAAGCUCAGUAACACGUGGCCAAACUACCCUGUGGAUGGGAACAAUCUCGGGAAACUGAGGCUAAUUCCCAAUAACGCUCCACCCCUGGAACGGGCGGAGCUGGAAACGCUACGGCGCCACAGGAUGUGGCUGCGGUCGAUUAGGUAGACGGUGGGGUAACGGCCCACCGUGCCAAUAAUCGGUACGGGUUGUGAGAGCAAGAGCCCGGAGACGGAAUCUGAGACAAGAUUCCGGGCCCUACGGGGCGCAGCAGGCGCGAAACCUUUACACUGUACGCAAGUGCGAUAAGGGGACUCCGAGUGUGAAGGCAUAGAGCCUUCACUUUUGUACACCGUAAGGUGGUGUACGAAUAAGGGCUGGGCAAGACCGGUGCCAGCCGCCGCGGUAAUACCGGCAGCCCGAGUGAUGGCCGAUAUUAUUGGGCCUAAAGCGUCCGUAGCUGGCCGGACAAGUCCGUUGGGAAAUCUGUUCGCUUAACGAGCAGGCGUCCAGCGGAAACUGUUCGGCUUGGGACCGGAAGACCUGAGGGGUACGUCCGGGGUAGGAGUGAAAUCCUGUAAUCCUGGACGGACCACCGGUGGCGAAAGCGCCUCAGGAGGACGGAUCCGACAGUGAGGGACGAAAGCUAGGGUCUCGAACCGGAUUAGAUACCCGGGUAGUCCUAGCUGUAAACGAUGCCCGCUAGGUGGGUGGCGCAGGCUACGAGCCUGCGCUGUGCCGUAGGGAAGCCGAGAAGCGGGCCGCCUGGGAAGUACGUCUGCAAGGAUGAAACUUAAAGGAAUUGGCGGGGGAGCACUACAACCGGAGGAGCCUGCCGUUUAAUUGGACUCAACGCCGGACAUCUCACCAGCUCCGACAGUAAUAAUG
rnacentral:rRNA from 1 species